rnacentral:lncRNA from 1 species
AAAUUUUUGGAAAUUAUUAAAAUAGCAUCAUGAACCGGUAAAUAUCUUACUAGUUUAAAUCAAGAAGUUUGAAUAAUGACUGAAUGGGGAAAGUUUGUGGUACGAUUCGUAAAGUAGUAGUUGAGGAGACAUAGAAGAAACAUGAUAAGACUUUGGUAUCUACAAACUUGAUGAAGACAAGAAGACAUUAAGCCAAAGCUGUCCAAAACAGCACUCAAAC